UACGGGGGGGGCAAGCGUUGUUCGGAAUUACUGGGCGUAAAGGGCUCGUAGGCGGCCAACUAAGUCAGACGUGAAAUCCCUCGGCUUAACCGGGGAACUGCGUCUGAUACUGGAUGGCUCGAGAUUGGGAGAGGGAUGCGGAAUUCCAGGUGUAGCGGUGAAAUGCGUAGAUAUCUGGAGGAACACCGGUGGCGAAGGCGGCAUCCUGGACCGGUAUUGACGCUGAGGCGCGAAAGCCAGGGGAGCAAACGGG
rnacentral:rRNA from 1 species